ACGGGCUCGCUCGGUCCGCCUCACGGCGUGUACUUUGCGGGUCCGUGCUCCUUGGUGGUGAGCCUCGAUGUCGUUUACUCGGCGUCUUGGUGAACCACCUCUGUUACUUUGAAAAAAUUAGAGUGUUUAAAGCAGGCUAACGCUUGAAUACAUUAGCAUGGAAUAAUGAAAUAGGACGAUCGAUCCUAUUUUGUUGGUUUCUAGGAUUGACGUA
rnacentral:rRNA from 1 species